rfam:Ornithorhynchus anatinus chromosome 2, whole genome shotgun sequence.
UUCCCCUCAGGGUCGUACCUGGAGAGUUACCAGUACUCUGCCAGCCUCGGCUAUGAAAGGGAGAGUCAAGCAGAGGCCUACCCAUUCCAUUCCUAGCUUGGGCAGUGGCUAAAGAGUGGAAGGCCAUCUGCUACAAGU